AUUGAACGCUGGCGGCAUGCUUUACACAUGCAAGUCGAACGGUAACAGGCCUUCGGGUGCUGACGAGUGGCGCACGGGUGCGUAAUGCAUCGGAACGUACCCAGAGGUGGGGGAUAACGCAGCGAAAGCUGUGCUAAUACCGCAUGUGAUCUGAGGAUGAAAGCGGGGGACCGAGCAGCAAUGUUUGGCCUCGCGCCUUUGGAGCGGCCGAUGUCGGAUUAGCUAGUUGGUGUGGUAAAGGCCUACCAAGGCGACGAUCCGUAGCUGGUCUGAGAGGACGACCAGCCACACUGGGACUGAGACACGGCCCAGACUCCUACGGGAGGCAGCAGUGGGGAAUUUUGGACAAUGGGCGCAAGCCUGAUCCAGCAAUGCCGCGUGCGGGAAGAAGGCCUUCGGGUUGUAAACCGCUUUUGGCAGGAACGAAACGGUGUCCGCUAAUACCGGGCGCUAAUGACGGUACCUGCAGAAUAAGCACCGGCUAACUACGUG
rnacentral:rRNA from 1 species